rnacentral:rRNA from 1 species
UACGUAGGGUCCGAGCGUUGUCCGGAAUUAUUGGGCGUAAAGGGCUCGUAGGCGGUUCGUCACGUCGGGAGUGAAAACUCGGAGCUUAACUCCGAGCCUGCUUCCGAUACGGGCAGACUAGAGGUAGGCAGGGGAGAGCGGAACUCCUGGUGUAGCGGUGGAAUGCGCAGAUAUCAGGAAGAACCCCGGUGGCGAAGGCGGCUCUCUGGGCCUUACCUGACGCUGAGGAGCGAAAGCGUGGGUAGCGAACAGG